rnacentral:rRNA from 1 species
GAGUUUGAUCAUGGCUCAGAACGUACGCUGGCGGCACGCCUAACACAUGCAAGUCGAACGAAGUAGCAAUACUUAGUGGCAGACGGGUGAGUAACAUGUAGGUAUCUGCCCUUUGGCCUGGAAUAACACGAGGAAACUUGUGCUAAUACCGGAUAAGUCAUUACAGAGAAAGCUUUAUGCACCAUUGGAUGAGCCCGCACUUGAUUAGUUUGUUGGUAGGGUAAUGGCCUACCAAGACUAUGAUCAAUAGCUGAUUUGAGAGGAUGAUCAGCCACAUUGGGACUGAGACACGGCCCAAACUCCUACGGGAGGCAGCAGUGGGGAAUCUUGCACAAUGGAGGAAACUCUGAUGCAGCGAUGCCGCGUGAGUGAAGAAGGCCUUUGGGUUGUAAAGCUCUUUCGUCGGGGAAGAAAAUGACUGUACCCGAAUAAGAAGGUCCGGCUAACUUCGUGCCAGCAGCCGCGGUAUACGAAGGGACCUAGCGUAGUUCGGAAUUACUGGGCUUAAAGAGUUCGUAGGUGGUUGAAAAAGUUGGUGGUGAAAUCCCAGAGCUUAACUCUGGAACUGCCAUCAAAACUUUUCAGCUAGAGUAUGAUAGAGGAAAGCAGAAUUUCUAGUGUAGAGGUGAAAUUCGUAGAUAUUAGAAAGAAUACCAAUUGCGAAGGCAGCUUUCUGGAUCAUUACUGACACUGAGGAACGAAAGCAUGGGUAGCGAAGAGGAUUAGAUACCCUCGUAGUCCAUGCCGUAAACGAUGUGUGUUAGACGUUGGAAAUUUAUUUUCAGUGUCGCAGGGAAACCGAUAAACACACCGCCUGGGGAGUACGACCGCAAGGUUAAAACUCAAAUGAAUUGACGGGGACCCGCACAAGUAGUGGAGCAUGUGUUUAAUUCGAAGAUACGCGCAGAACCUUACCAACACUUGACAUGUUCGUCGCGACUCUAAGAGAUUAGAGUUUUCGGUUCGGCCGGACGAAACACAGGUGCUGCAUGGCUGUCGUCAGCUCGUGUCGUGAGAUGUUGGGUUAAGUCCCGCAACGAGCGCAACCCUCACUUUUAGUUGCCAUCAUUAAGUUGGGCACUCUGAAAGAACUGCCAGUGAUAAGCUGGAGGAAGGUGGGGAUGACGUCAAGUCCUCAUGGCCCUUACGUGUUGGGCUACACACGUGCUACAAUGGCAUCUACAACAGGAAGCAAAACGGCAACGUUAAGCAAAUCCCGAAAAGAUGCCUCAGUUCGGAUUGCACUCUGCAACUCGAGUGCAUGAAGCUGGAAUUACUAGUAAUCGUGGAUCAGCGUGCCACGGUGAAUGCGUUCCCGGGUCUUGUACACACCGCCCGUCACACCAUGGGAGUUGGUUCUACCUUAAGGCAAGGUUUUAAACCCUUGACCACGGUAUAGUCAGCGACUGGGGUGAAGUCGUAACAAGGUAACC